ensembl:lncRNA
GUAAGCAGUCAGCACUUAAGGGAGAUGUUGCUGGGGCCAGGAUGGGCUGGGAUUCUGUUUGCUUUGCUUAGGAGAUGGUGGGGCAAUCAGAGAUCAGGGGCCUGUGAGCUGCUGUGAGAAGGGAAGGAGGGGCUUGGGAUUUGGGCCCAGGAAUUCCCAUCAGGAAUGAAACACUUUCCACCUGCUGCCACCUAAAGCGCCUAACUCCGUCAUGGAAUUUGCGUGCAGACAGUUAGAUCGGACUUUGGAAACAGAGGAUGAAUAAUGAGUUUCCUUCUUUCUGUUCACAGAGGCCAGCCAAGAGCCAGAGCUGGAGCCAGGCCUCUGGUCGUAAACUAAACAACAGAACCAGUUAUUGGUUUCAAGUCUGACUGCCUCCUCUUGUAAGGACUUUGGAACUUGGAGAAGCUCCCUUACCCUUUAUAAGCCAGCAGAAAGAAGUAUGAUUGUCAAGACCCCAGACAGAAUGGCAGGUAAAAGAAACAGCUGCUGCUAUCCAGAGUAAAUCAGUCACAAAGAAACCUGCUCCUCAUUCUGUCUCCUGGUUUCCCAUAAAUGCCUGAAGCCCAGCCUUGUAGUUGUUGUGGUAUGUGGGACGCCGCCUCAGCGUGGUUUGAUGAGCAGUGUCAUGUCCGCGCCCAGGAUUCGAACCAACGAAACACUGGGCCACCUGCAGCGGAGUGCGCGAACUUAACCACUCGGCCACGGGGCCAGCCCCCUAUGGAACACUUCUUUGAUGACAACUCUCUUCUUUACAAGUGAAUUGUUCAAAGUGAUGAUAUGACUGAAACAGGCAAGUCACCUUGACUAGUUAGUGCCAGAAGAUGCCCAACUUGCAAGUAAGGAGUUACUGGGACAAAGGGUACUUCAAAUUCGAAUACACUACCAAACUUUACUUCAGAAACGGUGUGAAGAUUUUUUAAUCAACAAGGUCUUACAUCACACAGCGGUCUACUUGUAAGGAGGCUUUCCUAUAGAGACAGAGCUUAUCAACUGGUGAUCUUCACUGUGAGAUGAUUGAGUGAGAACCUGGCUAAUUCAUUGGGGACCCCAAAAUGACAUUAUCUAUGGGUCUUUUCUUUGAGAGCAGUUCCAGUCUCCUCAGAGAUGAAUUCUCCAGUUUCCUGCCUGGAAAAUAUAUACCUGACUGCUGGUGUUCUUGGAACCAAUGUUUUUGGAGUGUAGGAAAAGGGACCUUAUUGUAGACUUUCAUUUAGUGCCCCUAUUUUCAAUAGAAUGCCCAUUCCCUAUUUUUAACUCUAUCUGGGGCAUCUGGGUCUGGGGCUUCUGUGGAUCAAUUUAGUUUGAAUAAACUUCCAAUCUCCUGCCAGAGUAGGGAAAAGGUAUUUUCCUGGCUGAGCAGGUUGAGGGAGGAGAACUAAGAGUGGUCUAGCUGCUUUUCUCGCACACAUGCAACCAAAUCCUCUGCUUUCGGCCUCUUGACACACCCCUGCUUUCUUUGGUCACUGGUGUCUCUAAUUUCUGAGCUUCCCAGGCAUUCCACAGCAUGAAUUGUCUUGCUUCUCAUUUUGCAGCCCCCACUCUGCAGACAUUUGCUCUUCAGUCCCUUCAGCUCUGCUAACCUGCAUCUACUUUCUAUCUUCCAAAAACGUCUUGGCAUAUCUAGUCUUCUGCUGCCUUCAUUACCAUUCUCUCUGUCUUUGUGGGAUUUUACCCCUUAAAAAACUAAUUUCUCUUCAUUUUAGCGUAGUUUUAGAAGAGAUAAUAGAUAAACAUGUAUUUAAUGUCAUAUUUAAUUGGAAGUCCUCCAAUUGUAUUUAUUAAAAUGAAAAAUUCACAUGCUCCUUGACUUGGAAAUCUCACUUAUGAUAAUUUAACUGUCAGAAAUAAAAGUGCCAGUAUUGUAUAGGUAAGUUUACAAGAGUGUUUACUGCAAUAGUAAUAGCAACAAUCAGAGUGUCCGCUGAUAAGGAACAGUUAUGUAAAUUAUGGUGUAUUUAUACUAUGGACUACUCUCCAAUCAUUAAAAGGAAUAAGGCAUAUUGACUUGGAAAGCCAUCCAUGAUAUAUUGCUGAGUAAAAGAGAAGGCUAUAGUAACCCCAUGUUUGUGAAAGAAAGUGAACUAGUAUUAUAUGUUUAUAUGUUUGUAUACAUGAAGAAUAAAGUGUGUAAGGAGUCAUACUAGAUUUUUAACAGUGAUUACAUUGGGGGAUGGCUUUGGAUGGGGAGUGGAAGAAUAUAUCAAUUUAACUUUAGAAACUUUUUUAUUGUCUUUGAAGUGUUUCAGUUAACCUGUGUUGCUUUUGUUAUUCAAACGCCAAAAUAAACAUGCUUAAAAAAAGUUGUAGAUGCAAGAAUGUUCACUGCAGCAUUAUUUAUGAUGGUGAAAAAUUGGAAAAUAAUAUAAAUGUCUGACAAUAAAGACUGGUUAAACACAUUUGAAAUAUCUGUAUGGCAGAAUAUUAGGAGCCUAUUAUAAUGAUCUUUUAGACAAAUUUUAAUGUUGUGGUAAAAUGGUCAUGAAUAAUGCAAGGUGAGAAAAGUAGAAUACGAAAUCGUAUAUACUUUGUAAUUCCAAUGUUGUAAUUAAAAUGUAAUGCGCACAAAAAACUGGAAGGAAA